UACGUAGGGUGCAAGCGUUGUCCGGAAUUACUGGGCGUAAAGGGCUCGUAGGCGGCCAACUAAGUCGGACGUGAAAUCCCCAGGCUCAACCUGGGAACUGCGUCCGAUACUGGAUGGCUUGAAUUCGGGAGAGGGAUGCAGAAUUCCAGGUGUAGCGGUGAAAUGCGUAGAUAUCUGGAGGAACACCCGUGGCGAAAGCGGCUCUCUGGGACGGUACUGACGCUGAGACGCGAAAGCGUGGGGAGCAAACAGG
rnacentral:rRNA from 1 species